rnacentral:rRNA from 1 species
UACAGAGGAGCCAAGCGUUGUCCGGAUUGACUGGGCGUAAAGCGCACGCAGGCGGUUGCGCGCGUGGGGUGUGAAAUCUGGCCGCUUAACGGCCAGGCGCCAUCCCAUACGGCGCGACUGGAGUGAUGCAGAGGUCGGUGGAAUUGCCGGUGUAGUGGUGAAAUGCGUAGAUAUGCGGAGGAACACCGAUGGCGAAGGCAAUCCCUGGGCCUGCACUGACGCUCAUGCACGAAAGCGUGGGGAGCAAACAGG